GAGGAUGUUUUCAGUCCCCAGCAAGGUCAUGAGGGCCUUGACAUUUCUUGGUUAGGCCGGCUUUGCUGGUGAGUUUUUCCAAACUCUGCAGGAGCAGUCUACCCCAACACACAUCUCAGUCCCAUGUAAAUUAAUAAGAUGGAAACGUUCUCAAUGUACUUCAUCAGUUUAGCACGUCUCUGAUACAAAAAUCCAAGAAAGGUACCACAAAAGCGAAAGCACCAACCAAGCUUACAUAUAAACAAACAUGCAUACAUCCUAAAUACUACACAAUAGUACCCAAAUGAAUACAACAUUGCAUUAAAGGUAUAAAAGCACUGUACUGAAAACGUAAAAGUUACACGUGAAUACUGCACUGUAAAUCCUGAACACUCUAAUGACCCACCCCCACCCUUCCACAGCCCUGGUGAGGAUCAGAAAGCAUUCAUCUGCCUCCAGACUUGGCUAGUCCUCGGAGACACUGCUGCGAGGGCAGUGGGCAGCGGGAUUAGCCUCCCGCAGAGCUCUGGCCUCCUCUAGAGCCUCUCUGUAUCGGGAGGGCCAGGCCUGGGGGUCUUUCUUAAAGACCCUGGCCAGGAACUCCAUGAUUUGCAGCUUGGUGAUUUCGCGGCUGGCCCGGGAGCCCCAGAAGAACUCGUACUCGGGCGGCUCCACGUACGGGACGCGCUGGUACUUCAGGUAAUUCUGCUGGACGAACUCCUCAGUGAUAAGCUUCCGCACGUCCCCGAAGGUGGAGUGCUUCUUCCAGGGCCGCAGCCCCAGGAUGCGGAGCACGUUCCAGACCGCGCUCUCUCUGGCGCCGCGGCCCUUCACGUAGAUGAGGCUCAGGAUCAUGAGGAGGAGACCUGUCAUGGGCAUGCGGUUGCUCAGCGCCACCCUGUCCAGCUCCUCGGGCUCCAGCGCUUUGACCAGCGCAAACUCCAUGGUGUGCAGGCUGGUUAGCCUCAGGUGCAGCCCGAACACCCGGGCGAGGAUGAGGCUGGUACGCCGGAGGAUGCUCCUGCACCACUUCUUGUAGCUGCCGAUGAC
rnacentral:lncRNA from 1 species